AUGGCAGCAGGUGGGGCUACCGCUGCUAGAGGCAGCUGUGUUUCUAAUGAAUCAGAUUGCCUUAAAUGGGGCCUGGGUCCCAAAAAAGUCUUUACAACUAAAUCGGUUUAUUCUUUCUUGGAAAGAAACAUCGCAGGAUGCAAUUUUGGGUGGAUUUGGAAAGCUGGCAUUCCAUUAAAGAUUAAGAUUUUUAUGUGGCAGCUAUUCCAGGAUGCUAUCCUUACUCGGGAGGUGAUGAAAAAGAGAGGGUGGAAAGGAAACCCGAAAUGUUCAUUCUGUGGAGAGAAUGAGACAUCUCAGCAUCUCUUCUUUACUUGUCCUAUUGCGAGGGUAACAUGGAGAAGUGUUGCCUGCAUGCUCGGCACUGAUUUGUGUCCGAAUAGUUUAUGGCAGGCUUACUCCUAG
rnacentral:rRNA from 1 species